UACGGAGGUGGCAAGCGUUGUUCGGAAUUACUGGGCGUAAAGGGCGCGUAGGCGGCUUGGCAAGUCAGAUGUGAAAGCCCCGGGCUUAACUUGGGAAUUGCAUCUGAAACUGCUUUGCUUGAGUCCUGGAGGGGGUAGUGGAAUUCCCAGUGUAGCGGUGAAAUGCGUAGAUAUUGGGAGGAACACCGGCGGCGAAGGCGGCUACCUGGACAGUGACUGACGCUGAGGCGCGAAAGCUAGGGGAGCAAACGGGAUUAGAUACCCCGGUAGUCCUAGCCGUAAACGAUGGGCACUUGGUGUUGGGGGUAUUGAGUCCCCCAGUGUCGUAGUUAACAUGGUAAGUGCCCCGCCUGGGGAGUACGGUCGCAAGACUGAAACUCAAAGGAAUUGACGGGGGCCCGCACAAGCGGUGGAGCAUGUGGUUCAAUUCGACGCAACGUGAAGAACCUUACCGGGGCUCGAACGGUAGUCGCUACCCCUGGAAACGGGGGGUUCUCGUAAGGGACGGCUACCGAGGUGCUGCAUGGCUGUCGUCAGCUCGUGUCGUGAGAUGUUGGGUUAAGUCCCGCAACGAGCGCAACCCUUGCCCUUAGUUGCCACCAGGUAAUGCUGAGCACCCUAAGGGAACUGUCGGCGAAAAGCCGGAGGAAGGUGGGGAUGACGUCAAGUCCUCAUGGCCCUUACGUCCCGGGCUACACACGUGCUACAAUGGCCGGUACAAAGGGUUGCCAACCCGCGAGGGGGAGCUAAUCCCAAAAAGCCGGUCCCAGUCCGGAUUGCAGUCUGCAACUCGACUGCAUGAAGUCGGAAUCGCUAGUAAUCGCAGAUCAGAACGCUGCGGUGAAUACGUUCCCUGGGCCU
rnacentral:rRNA from 1 species